GCCUCCGAGGCUUAGUCGGGAAAACAUCCGACUAUGGUGCAUCCGGGUUCGACUAGGAUUCGGGUUCGAGCCCCGGUGAAGGCA